UGAGGAGAGGAGUGCCUUUGCCCAUGACCACAGAGUCAGCAUGUUUCAGAGGCAGGAUUUGAACUCAGGUCUUCCUGGGCUCUGUAUUUACAAUGCCACAUUGCUUCUUGAGCCUUUAUUAUUUAUAGCAAGCCAAGAUUAGUCACUGAGGGAGAAGCAAAGUUUUGAUAAAAUAUGCUCUCCUCCAGAUAAUCUAUGAUCUACCUAUAUUGGCCAUCUUCCAUACUCUAUACCACAAUUCUGUUCCUUUUGACUAGCUCACUCCCUCAUCUCAACUCUGCUUCCUGGCUUCUCUGCAUUCCUUUAAGACUCAGCUCAAAUGCCACCUUCCACAAGAAGCCUUUCCUGGAGUCCUCCACCCCACCUGGGAUGCCUUGCCUUUGAGAUUACCUCCCACUUACAUUGUAUAUGUCUUCCAUAUCUAUUUUGGGGCAGCUGGUUGGUGCAGAGGUUAGGGUGCCAGACUUGAAGUAAGGAAGAUUCAUCUUCCUGAGUUCAACGUGCCUCAGAUACUUAGUAGCUGUGUGACCCUAGCAAACAAGAAUUAAUAUGGCCAGCAGACAGUCCCAAAGAGAUCAACCAUGAAACUGGAAGCACAAAGAAGUGUGGCAACCACAAGACCAGUGAAGACGCCAACCAGAAGAAGUAUGAUAUCCAUUGGAAACCUGAGACAUGAAACCUAACAGAAACAAAGCACUCAGGGGAGAAUGGCAUGAUGGCAUCACUAGAAGACAUUAGCUGCACUGCUGCAUCAAAGUAUGAGUUACCCAAACCAAGCAUAUGCCCUGGCCAUGCAAAGGCCAAAAUGUGUGCCUUCUCUGCAUAAUCCCUGAUUGUGUGUUUUCUAUUUAUGCCCUCUCUCAUUUCACAGUACGGUGGUAAUUUGUGGAAGAAUGUAUCUCAUAAGCUUAUGGAGGGGGGAACCUCUUAACAUUUUAUUUGCUAUGCUAUUUGGUUAGAUGUCUUCUAUUUAAACUAAGGUGUUCUCUGGAUGGCUGUUAAUAGUAACCUCAUCAUGUUGGUUUUGCUGAACUGUUAUUUCUCUCUUUUUAUUCUUUUUUAUAAGGGGGUUUUGCUAA